rnacentral:rRNA from 1 species
GGAGGUAAAUUUCUCCUAAGGCUAAAUAUCGGCGAGAGACCGAUAGCGAACAAGUACCGUGAGGGAAAGAUGAAAAGACUUUGAAAAGAGAGUAAAAUAGUACGUGAAAUUGUUGAAAGGGAAACGAUUGAAGUCAUCGUACCGACGAGAAAUCAACUUAUCGUGUGCGAACUUGUGGACGUGCGUGAGUUUCGGCUCGCUGUUUGCAUGUUUGUGCGUUUUGGGUGUACUUUUUCGUAUGGUAGGCCAACGUCGUUUCGAUUAUCAUAAAAUGACCGGCGGAAUGUAGCUUCGAUUUCGGUUGAAGUGUUAUGCCUCUGGUAGAUGUGGUGAUUGAGACUGAGGAUUGCAACGAAUACCCUUUGGGCUAUCGUCUGGCCUCUGAAAGUUGCUCAGGUGCCGAAAGCGUGCUUACGGUAUUAAGGUAUUACGUCAAAAGGUUAGAACGGAUUACAUUCGUUAAGGAUGUUGACGUAAUGGCUUUAAACGA